AGAGUUUGAUCAUGGCUCAGAUUGAACGCUGGCGGCAGGCCUAACACAUGCAAGUCGAACGGUAACAGGAAGCAGCUUGCUGCUUUGCUGACGAGUGGCGGACGGGUGAGUAAUGUCUGGGAAACUGCCCGAUGGAGGGGGAUAACUACUGGAAACGGUAGCUAAUACCGCAUAACGUCGCAAGACCAAAGAGGGGGACCUUAGGGCCUCUUGCCAUCGGAUGUGCCCAGAUGGGAUUAGCUAGUAGGUGGGGUAACGGCUCACCUAGGCGACGAUCCCUAGCUGGUCUGAGAGGAUGACCAGCCACACUGGAACUGAGACACGGUCCAGACUCCUACGGGAGGCAGCAGUGGGGAAUAUUGCACAAUGGGCGCAAGCCUGAUGCAGCCAUGCCGCGUGUAUGAAGAAGGCCUUCGGGUUGUAAAGUACUUUCAGCGGGGAGGAAGGGAGUAAAGUUAAUACCUUUGCUCAUUGACGUUACCCGCAGAAGAAGCACCGGCUAACUCCGUGCCAGCAGCCGCGGUAAUACGGAGGGUGCAAGCGUUAAUCGGAAUUACUGGGCGUAAAGCGCACGCAGGCGGUUUGUUAAGUCAGAUGUGAAAUCCCCGGGGCUCAACCCCGGGAACUGCAUCUGAUACUGGCAAGCUUGAGUCUCGUAGAGGGGGGUAGAAUUCCAGGUGUAGCGGUGAAAUGCGUAGAGAUCUGGAGGAAUACCGGUGGCGAAGGCGGCCCCCUGGACGAAGACUGACGCUCAGGUGCGAAAGCGUGGGGAGCAAACAGGAUUAGAUACCCUGGUAGUCCACGCCGUAAACGAUGUCGACUUGGAGGUUGUGCCCUUGAGGCGUGGCUUCCGGAGCUAACGCGUUAAGUCGACCGCCUGGGGAGUACGGCCGCAAGGUUAAAACUCAAAUGAAUUGACGGGGGCCCGCACAAGCGGUGGAGCAUGUGGUUUAAUUCGAUGCAACGCGAAGAACCUUACCUGGUCUUGACAUCCACGGAAGUUUUCAGAGAUGAGAAUGUGCCUUCGGGAACCGUGAGACAGGUGCUGCAUGGCUGUCGUCAGCUCGUGUUGUGAAAUGUUGGGUUAAGUCCCGCAACGAGCGCAACCCUUAUCCUUUGUUGCCAGCGGUCCGGCCGGGAACUCAAAGGAGACUGCCAGUGAUAAACUGGAGGAAGGUGGGGAUGACGUCAAGUCAUCAUGGCCCUUACGACCAGGGCUACACACGUGCUACAAUGGCGCAUACAAAGAGAAGCGACCUCGCGAGAGCAAGCGGACCUCAUAAAGUGCGUCGUAGUCCGGAUUGGAGUCUGCAACUCGACUCCAUGAAGUCGGAAUCGCUAGUAAUCGUGGAUCAGAAUGCCACGGUGAAUACGUUCCCGGGCCUUGUACACACCGCCCGUCACACCAUGGGAGUGGGUUGCAAAAGAAGUAGGUAGCUUAACCUUCGGGAGGGCGCUUACCACUUUGUGAUUCAUGACUGGGGUGAAGUCGUAACAAGGUAACCGUAGGGGAACCUGCGGUUGGAUCACCU
rnacentral:rRNA from 1 species